CCUACGGGAGGCAGCAGUGAGGAAUAUUGGUCAAUGGGCGAGAGCCUGAACCAGCCAAGUCGCGUGAAGGAUGACGGCCCUACGGGUUGUAAACUUCUUUUGUCAGGGAGCAAGUGAGGCCACGUGUGGGCUGAGCGAGAGGACCUGAAGAAAAAGCAGCGGCGAACUCCAUGCCAGCAGCCGCGGUAAGACGGAGGAUGCGAGCGUUAGCCGGAUUGAUGGGGUUGAAAGGGUGCGGAGGCGGAAUCUCAAGGCAGCGGUAAAAAUUCGGGGCUCAACCCCGUCGUGCCGUUGAAACUGCUGUUCUUGAGUGGGCGAGCAGUAUGCGGACUGCGUGGUGUAGCGG
rnacentral:rRNA from 1 species